GAUGAACGCUGGCGGCAUGCCUAAAACAUGCAAGUCGAGCGGUAAGGCCCCUUCGGGGUACGACGAGCGGCGGACGGGUGAGUAACGCGUGGGAAUCUACCCCAAACUGAGGGAUAAGCAUUGGAAACGAUGUCUAAUACCGCAUAUGGUCUUCGGAUUAAAGCUUCGGCGGUUUGGGAAGAGCCCGCGUAAGAUUAGCUAGUUGGUGAGGUAAAGGCUCACCAAGGCGACGAUCUUUAACUGGUUUGAGAGGAUGAUCAGUCACACUGGAACUGAGACACGGUCCGGACUCCUACGGGAGGCAGCAGUGGGGGAAUAUUGCGCAAUGGGCGAAAGCCUGACGCAGCCAUA
rnacentral:rRNA from 1 species